rnacentral:rRNA from 1 species
GACGAACGCUGGCGGCGUGCUUAACACAUGCAAGUCGAGCGGUAAGGCCCUUUCGGGGGUACACGAGCGGCGAACGGGUGAGUAACACGUGGGUGACCUGCCCUCAGCUCUGGGAUAAGCCUGGGAAACCGGGUCUAAUACUGGAUAUGACUCCAUGACGCAUGUUGUGGGGUGGAAAGCCUUGUGCGGCUGAGGAUGGGCCCGCGGCCUAUCAGCUUGUUGGUGGGGUNANGGCCUACCAAGGCGACGACGGGUAGCCGGCCUGAGAGGGCGACCGGCCACACUGGGACUGAGACACAGCCCAGACUCCUACGGGAGGCAGCAGUAGGGAAUCUUGCGCAAUGGGCGAAAGCCUGACGCAGCGACGCCGCGUGCGGGAAGAAGGCCUUAGGGUUG